rnacentral:snRNA from 1 species
UGCCUGUCGGGACCCGAAA